rnacentral:rRNA from 1 species
UAUGAACGCUGGCGGCGUGCUUAACACAUGCAAGUCGAACGAAGCACUUAUGAAAGAUUCUUCGGAUGAUGGAUUAAGUGACUGAGUGGCGGACGGGUGAGUAACGCGUGGGUAACCUGCCUCAUACAGGGGGAUAACAGUUAGAAAUGACUGCUAAUACCGCAUAAGCGCACAGGACCGCAUGGUCUAGUGCUAAAAACUCCGGUGGUAUGAGAUGGACCCGCGUCUGAUUAGCUAGUUGGUGGGGUAACGGCCUACCAAGGCGACGAUCAGUAGCCGGCCUGAGAGGGUGACCGGCCACACUGGGACUGAGACACGGCCCAG